AGGUGAGGGGCCACGAGGACCAGGGCGGGGUAGGGGCAGCCCUUUCCCAGGCGGUAGCGGGGGCGCUGGUGCUGUUGCCCUUUUAAGCUGCGGCUUGACGGGAGCCGCGCCUCCUGUCGGUGGAGUCGGUUAUAAAGGGAGCAGCCCCCCAGGCCGCCACACAGCUCCCGCCAAGUCCUCGGUGUCCCUUGCCAUUUUCCAGCCGCGCUCCCACGAGGGUCACGGCAGCGGGGAGAGGUGGAGCCGCGAGAGCUCGGCCGGGGGCCCCGCCGGGUGGUCGCGGCCAUGACAGCGGCUCGGGACAGGUUCCUUUUCCGCGCCCCUCUCGCCUGAGAUGAGGGGAAGAUGUCCCUGUCAGCGUUCAAGGCCAAACUGAAGUUGCCGGCCUCUAUCUUCCACGAGAACCAGGAGCCACAGCCGCGGCUCACGCUCCACCGCAACAUCAAGAUUAGAAGUGGACACCUGAGUCAGCAGGACCUGGAAUCCCAGAUGAGAGAGAGCUUAUCUACAUGGACUCAGAUCUUGUUGUCACCCCCAUUAAUGACAGUCCAAAGGUGCAGAAAGCACUCUAACAACUGAGUUGUAGACUUUACUGAGAUCUGAAAUCUGCAUGAGAUUUUCAUUCAGAAUAUUAUUUACUGUCUAAUCUUUCCUUUUCUCUUGUCUGCUUCUGUUUCAUUUGUGCUGCAUGUCUGCAUUUCCAGCUCCCGCUCUGUCUGCAACAGUUUCCUCUGCCUUCACUUCCACUGCACUGGAGUUCUAAGUUUUCUCCCCUCUGUUUUGAAUGAGUCAGCUCUGCCUCUCACUACUGCUUUCUUCCACAUGCCACAGAGGGGUUGCCAGCCUCUUGACCUCAGACCUUAGCUCUCAGUCCCAUCGUUUCUCCAUCUGCACUAAUGUGACUCACUCUAAGUAUUCUAGUCUCUGAUGUAUUUUGAAGGCAGAAGCAGUCAGAGGGCACUGCUCACCAGGCUGGGCUGGGCAGGCAGAUCACACGGAAGCCCUGCCCUCUCACAGGUUGUUAAGACUGCAUGGGAGACAGUGAGGAGACACUAUGGGAGCUGGAGGAGUCACGGUUCACAAUGUACUUCUACACCACUGUAAUGAAACGACCACCAUCAGUUGAAUUUCAACCAAAAAUAUUGCAUCUACCAGCAUUUUCAGUGGAUAAGUUAUAAUUUCUGAAAGACCAAGAUUGGAAUGACUUUUUUGCAACAAGUGUGCUCACAGAUGGACUCCACUGAGAAGAGCUCGAGGACCUCUUGAGCCAAGCUUAAUCUCCUUUGCUGUUUGUGCAUGGUGGCUGGUCACCAGGAGGUGGCCGCCAGGCUCCUCCAUUCCCCGCUGUUCCAAUUGCUAAUCCAGCAUUCGCAGAUAGAUCUAAACUGCGAUAUAUGGGACAACGUUGCUUGGGUGAUUGGUUUACUGGCUUCUCACACAACUGAGCUCCAGGAAAAUACACCUGUUGCUGAGGCAUAACUGAAGGUGAAAGGAUAGAAUCAUAGUGUGUUACUGGCACAGGUGCAUCGGCUAGUGAAGAAAGAAGACAUUCAAAAUAGUCCCUCUCUGUCACCCAGUCUGGAGGGCAGCAGCGCCAUCAUAGUUCACUGCCACCUAGAUGCCUGGGUUGAAGCAAUCCUCCCAUAUCAGCCUUCAGAGUAGCUGGGACUACCUGCGCGGCCCACCACCCCUGGCUAAUCUUUGUGGGCUUUGUUUUGUUUUUCCGUUCUGGGUUUCCACCGGGCACAGUGGCUCACCCCUGCAAUCCCAGCACUUUGGAAGGCAGAGGCAGGCGGAUCACCCGAGGUGGGAGACCAGCCUGACCAACCUGAAGAAACACCGUCUCUACUGAAAAAAAAAAAAAAGAAUUAGCUGGACAUGGUGGCUCAUGCCUGUAAUCCCAGCUACUAGGGAGGCCUAGGCAGGAGAAUCACCUAAACUCGGGAGGUGGAGGUUGCGGUGAGCAAGAUCGCACUAUUGCACUCCAGCCUGGACAACAAGAGUGAAACUCCAUCUCAAAACAUAGACCGGUUUCACCAUGUUGCCCGGGCGGUCUGGAACUCCUAGGCUGGAGCGAUCUGCCACUCUCAGCCGUCCAAAGUCCUGGGAUCACAAGGGGCAGGCACCACACCAGGCCGAUCUAUUCCUUUGUGAUUAAUAAAUUGGACCGGGUGUGGUGGCUCACGCCUGCAAUCCCAGCACCCCGGGAGGCGAGGCGGGCGGAUCACCUGAGGUCCGGAGUUUGAGACCAGCCUGACUAACAGUGAGAAACUCAGUCUCUACCAAAAAAAAAAAAAAAAAAAAAAGCCGGGCAUGGUGGCUCACGCCUGCAAUCCCAGCACCCAGGGAGGUGGAGGCAGGCGGAUCACCCGAGAUCAGGAGCUCGAGAUCAGCCCGACCAACACGGAGAAACCCCAUCUGUACCAAAAAAAUAAAACCAAAAUUAGCUGGCAUGGUGGCUCAUGCCUGCAAUCCCAGCCACUCAGGAGGCUGAGGCAGGAGAACCACCUAAACCCGGGAGGUGGAGGCCACGGCGAGCUGAGACCGAGCCACUGCCCUCCAGCCUGGAAAACAAGAGCGAAACUCCACUCAAAAAAAAAAAAAAAAAAAAAGACCAUAUUUCACCACGUUGCCCAGGCCGGUCUGGAAGUCCUAGGCUCAAUCGAUCCGCCGCGCUCGGCCGUCCAAAGUACUGGGAUCACAAGCAUGAGCUACCACGCCAGGCUGAUCUAUUCCUUUCUGAUUAAUAAAUUGGACCGGGCGUGGUGGCUCAUGCCUGCAAUCCCAGCACCCCGGCAGGCGAGGCGGGUGGAUCACCUGAGGUCCGGAGUUUGAGACCAGCCUGACCAACAGUGAGAAACCCUGUCUCUACCAAAAAAAAAAAAAAGCUGGUCAUGGUGGCUCACACCUGCAAUCCCAGCACCCAGGGAGGUGGAGGCAGGUAGAUCACCCGAGGUCAGGAGCUCGAGAUCAGCCUGACCAACACGGAGAAACCCCAUCUGUACCAAAAAAAUAAAACCAAAAUUAGCUGGCAUGGUGGCUCAUGCCUGCAAUCCCAGCCACUCAGGAGGCUGAGGCAGGAGAACCACCUAAACCUGGGAGGUGGAGGCCGCAGUGAGUCGAGACCGCGCCACUGCACUCCAGCCUGGAAAACAAGAGCGAAACUCCACUCAAAAAAAAAAAAAAAGACCGUGUUUCACCAUGUUGCCCAGGCCGGUCUGGAACUCCUAGGUUCAAGUGAUCUGCUGCGCUCGGCCGUCCAAAGUCCUAGGAUCACAAGGGUGAGCCACCACGCCAGGCCGAUCUAUUACUUUCUGAUUAAUAAAUUGGGCCAGGCAUGGUGGCUCACGCCUGCAAUCCCAGCACCCCCGGGAGGCUGAGGUGGGUGGAUAACCUGAGGUUGGGAGUUUGAGACCAGCCUGACCAAUAUGGAGAAACCUGUCUCCACCAAAAAAAAAAAAAAUCAGCCAGGCAUGGUGGCUCACUCCUGCAAUCCCAGCCACUUGGGAGGCUGAGGUGGGAAGAUCACUUAAAACUGGGAGGUGGAGGUUGUGGUGAGCCGUCAUUUACUCCAGCCUGGGCAACAAGAGCGAAACUCCAUCUGAAAAACAAACAAACAACAACAAAAAAACAGGUUUCACCAUGUUGCCCAGGCGGGUCUGGAACUCCCAGGCUCAAGUGAUCUGCCUCACUCCCGGGAUUACACUGUGAGGGUUAAUUUUAUGUGCCAACUUGACUGGGCCACAGGGUGCUCAGAUUAAACAUUGUUUCUGGUUGUGUUUGUGAGUGUUUCCAGAUGACAUUAGCUUUUGAGUCAGUGAAUUCAGUAACAUAGAUGGCCCCAUGGAGAUGGACAUCAUCCAACCUGGUGAGGGCUUGAGUAGAACAAAGGGAGGAAGGGGAAAUUUGCCCCCUUUCUUUCUGCCUCUUUGCUUGUGCUGGGACAUCUCAUCUUCUGCCCUGGGACUGGGAUGUACACCAUCAGAUCUCCAGAAGGUUCUCAGGCCUUCUGACUUGGACAGAAUUAAAUCACCAAUUUUCCUGAGUGUUCCAGCUUCCAUAAUAAAUCUCUUUUUAAGAAAAUGUGGGACAUAUACAACAUGGAAUACUAUGAAGCUAUAAAAAGGAACAAAAUCAUGUCCUUUUCAGCAACAUGGAUGCAGUUGGAGGCCAUAAUCCUCAGGAAACUAACACAGAGACAGAAAACCAAAUACUGCAUGUUCUCACUUAUAAGUGGGAGCUAAUAAUUAAGUCCUAAUUCCUAGAACCUGUAAAUGUUACCUCAUUUGGAAAAAGCAUA